rnacentral:rRNA from 1 species
GAUGAACGCUGGCGGCGUGCCUAAUACAUGCCAGUCGAGCGAACGGACGAGAAGCUUGCUUCUCUGAUGUUAGCGGCGGACGGGUGAGUAACACGUGGAUAACCUACCUAUAAGACUGGGAUAACUUCGGGAAACCGGAGCUAAUACCGGAUAAUAUUUUGAACCGCAUGGUUCAAAAGUGAAAGACGGUCUUGCUGUCACUUAUAGAUGGAUCCGCGCUGCAUUAGCUAGUUGGUAAGGCAACGGCUUACCAAGGCAACGAUGCAUAGCCGACCUGAGAGGGUGAUCGGCCACACUGGAACUGAGACACGGUCCAGACUCCUACGGGAGGCAGCAGUAGGGAAUCUUCCGCAAUGGGCGAAAGCCUGACGGAGCAACGCCGCGUGAGUGAUGAAGGUCUUCGGAUCGUAAAACUCUGUUAUUAGGGAAGAACAUAUGUGUAAGUAACUGUGCACAUCUUGACGGUACCUAAUCAGAAAGCCACGGCUAACUACGUG